rnacentral:rRNA from 1 species
CCUACGGGAGGCAGCAGUGAGGAAUAUUGGUCAAUGGACGAGAGUCUGAACCAGCCAAGUAGCGUGAAGGAUGACUGCCCUAUGGGUUGUAAACUUCUUUUAUAUGGGAAUAAAGUGUUCCACGUGUGGGUAUUUGUAUGUACCAUAUGAAUAAGCAUCGGCUAACUCCGUGCCAGCAGCCGCGGUAAUACGGAGGAUGCGAGCGUUAUCCGGAUUUAUUGGGUUUAAAGGGAGCGUAGGUGGGUUGUUAAGUCAGUUGUGAAAGUUUGCGGCUCAACCGUAAAAUUGCAGUUGAUACUGGCAGUCUUGAGUACAGUAGAGGUAGGCGGAAUGCGUGGUGUAGCGGUGAAAUGCUUAGAUAUCACGAAGAACUCCGAUUGCGAAGGCAGCUUACUGGACUGCAACUGACACUGAGGCUCGAAAGUGUGGGGAUCAAACAGGAUUAGAUACCCGGGUAGUC